GAUGAACGCUGGCGGCGUGCCUAAUACAUGCAAGUCGAGCGAACAGACGAGGAGCUUGCCCCUCUGACGUUAGCGGCGGACGGGUGAGUAACACGUGGAUAACCUACCUAUAAGACUGGGAUAACUUCGGGAAACCGGAGCUAAUACCGGAUAAUAUAUUGAACCGCAUGGUUCAAUAGUGAAAGACGGUUUUGCUGUCACUUAUAGAUGGAUCCGCGCCGCAUUAGCUAGUUGGUAAGGUAACGGCUUACCAAGGCAACGAUGCGUAGCCGACCUGAGAGGGUGAUCGGCCACACUGGAACUGAGACACGGUCCAGACUCCUACGGGAGGCAGCAGUAGGGAAUCUUCCGCAAUGGGCGAAAGCCUGACGGAGCAACGCCGCGUGAGUGAUGAAGGUCUUCGGAUCGUAAAACUCUGUUAUUAGGGAAGAACAAAUGUGUAAGUAACUAUGCACGUCUUGACGGUACCUAAUCAGAAAGCCACGGCUAACUACGUG
rnacentral:rRNA from 1 species